rnacentral:rRNA from 1 species
AUUGAACGCUGGCGGCAGGCCUAACACAUGCAAGUCGAGCGGGGUUUUCGGACCUAGCGGCGGACGGGUGAGUAAUGCGUGGGAAGCUGCCCGAUAGAGGGGGAUACCAGUUGGAAACGACUGUUAAUACCGCAUAAUGUCUACGGACCAAAGUGUGGGACCUUCGGGCCACAUGCUAUCGGAUGCGCCUACGUGGGAUUAGCUAGUUGGUGAGGUAAUGGCUCACCAAGGCGACGAUCUCUAGCUGGUUUGAGAGGAUGAUCAGCCACACUGGAACUGAGACACGGUCCAGACUCCUACGGGAGGCAGCAGUGGGGAAUAUUGGACAAUGGGCGCAAGCCUGAUCCAGCCAUGCCGCGUGUGUGAAGAAGGCCUUCGGGUUGUAAAGCGCUUUCAGCGAGGAGGAAGGGUGGUGUGUUAAUAGCACAUCAUUUUGACGUUACUCGCAGAAGAAGCACCGGCUAACUCUGUGCCAGCAGCCGCGGUAACAC